GUGCACCAGGCGCGAACCUUCGCAAUGUGCGAAGCAUGACGAAGCGACGCCGCGUGGAAGAUGAAGCCCUGCGGGGUGUAAAUUCCUUUAUAGGGGAAGAACUUUUGUGACUGUACCCUAUGAAUAAGGAGCUACUAAUCACGUGCCAGCAGUAGCGGUAAUACGUGAGCUCCGAGCGUUAUCCGGAUUUACUGGGCGUAAAAGCGUUCGUAGGCGCUCUGUUAAAGUUUUCUGUUAAAAUCUCUAAAGGCCCAAACCUUAGAGCUGCAGAAAAAACUGGCAGGGUAGAGGAUGUCAGGGGCUGAUGGAACUCUCGUGCAGAGG
rnacentral:rRNA from 1 species